UACGGAGGGGGUUAGCGUUGUUCGGAAUGACUGGGCGUAAAGCGCGCGUAGGCGGAUCGCAAAGUUGGGGGUGAAAGCCCAGGGCUCAACCCUGGAAUUGCCUUCAAGACUCGCGGUCUGGAGUUCGAGAGAGGUGGGUGGAAUUCCGAGUGUAGAGGUGAAAUUCGUAGAUAUUCGGAGGAACACCAGUGGCGAAGGCGGCUCACUGGCUCGACACUGACGCUGAGGUGCGAAAGCGUGGGGAGCAAACAGG
rnacentral:rRNA from 1 species